UACAGAGGGUGCGAGCGUUAAUCGGAAUUACUGGGCGUAAAGCGCACGUAGGCGGCUUGGUAUGUCGGGUGUGAAAUCCCCGGGCUCAACCUGGGAACUGCAUCCGAAACUGCCUUGCUCGAGUAUGGGAGAGGGAAGUGGAAUUUCCGGUGUAGCGGUGAAAUGCGUAGAUAUCGGAAGGAACAUCAGUGGCGAAAGCGACUUCCUGGACCAGUACCGACGUUCAGGCACGAAAGCGUGGGGAGCAAACAGG
rnacentral:rRNA from 1 species